UUCGAGCGUCAUUUUACCGACUCAAGCUUUCGCUUGGUAUUGGGGUUCGCGGUUUCGCGGCCCCUAAAAUCAGUGGCGGUGCCUGUCGGCUCUACGCGUAGUAAUACUCCUCGCGUCUGGGUCCGGUAGGUGACUUGCCAUCAACCCCCAAAUUUUUACAGGUUGACCUCGGAUCAGGUAGGGAUACCCGCUGAACUUAA
rnacentral:misc_RNA from 1 species